UCCUCCUCCUCCGACAUUGGCAUCAGAGCAAAGGCAGGACCUCAGGGGAAUGUUUGGACAUGAAGGACAGACAAGCAGAAGAGGAAAGACAGAUGGACAGUCAGGCUGCUGCAUCUGAUGCCCCCCAGGAUGUGCCCUACGCACAGCUGAACCUAUUGGCCCAUAGACAAAAGACAAGUGCACCCCCAUUCUCCUCAUCAAAGGAUCCCUCA